rnacentral:sRNA from 1 species
ACUGCCGGCCUCCGCGCUACCCGGCCGCAGCGCGCGAGUCACAUGGAGGCUCCUGAGGAGCCCGCGCCAGUGCGCGGAGGCCCGGAGGCCACCCUUGAGGUCCAUGGGUCGCGCUGCCUGCGGCUGUCCGCCUUCCGAGAAGAGCUGCGGGCGCUCUUGGUCCUGGCUGGCCCCGCGUUCUUGGUUCAGCUGAUGGUGUUCCUGAUCAGCUUCAUAAGCUCCGUGUUCUGUGGCCACCUGGGCAAGCUGGAGCUGGAUGCAGUCACGCUGGCGAUUGCGGUUAUCAAUGUCACUGGUGUCUCAGUGGGAUUCGGCUUAUCUUCUGCCUGUGACACCCUCAUCUCCCAGACGUAUGGGAGCCAGAACCUGAAGCACGUGGGCGUGAUCCUGCAGCGGAGUGCGCUCGUCCUGCUCCUCUGCUGCUUCCCCUGCUGGGCACUCUUUCUCAACACCCAGCACAUCCUGCUGCUCUUCAGGCAGGACCCAGAUGUGUCCAGGCUUACCCAGACCUAUGUCACGAUCUUCAUUCCAGCUCUUCCUGCAACCUUUCUUUAUAUGUUACAAGUUAAAUAUUUGCUCAACCAGGGAAUUGUACUGCCCCAGAUCGUAACUGGAGUUGCAGCCAACCUUGUCAAUGCCCUCGCCAACUAUCUGUUUCUCCAUCAACUGCAUCUUGGGGUGAUAGGCUCUGCACUGGCAAACUUGAUUUCCCAGUACACCCUGGCUCUACUCCUCUUUCUCUACAUCCUCGGGAAAAAACUGCAUCAAGCUACAUGGGGAGGCUGGUCCCUCGAGUGCCUGCAGGACUGGGCCUCCUUCCUCCGCCUGGCCGUCCCCAGCAUGCUCAUGCUGUGCAUGGAGUGGUGGGCCUAUGAGGUCGGGAGCUUCCUCAGUGGUCUGUAUGAGGAUGGAUGACGGGGACUGGUGGGAACCUGGGGGCCCUGUCUGGGUGCAAGGCGACAGCUGUCUUUCUUCACCAGGCAUCCUCGGCAUGGUGGAGCUGGGCGCUCAGUCCAUCGUGUAUGAACUGGCCAUCAUUGUGUACAUGAGACAUCAUUAAUCUGGUGGCUCAGGUGGUUCCAAUUUAUGCUGUUUCCCACCUCUUUGAAGCUCUUGCUUGCACGAGUGGUGGCGUUCUGAGGGGGAGUGGAAAUCAGAAGGUUGGAGCCAUUGUGAAUACCAUUGGGUACUAUGUGGUUGGCCUCCCCAUCGGGAUCGUGCUGAUGUUUGCAACCACACUUGGAGUGAUGGGUCUGUGGUCAGGGAUCAUCAUCUGUACAGUCUUUCAAGCUGUGUGUUUUCUAGGCUUUAUUAUUCAGCUAAAUUGGAAAAAAGCCUGUCAGCAGGCUCAGGUACACGCCAAUUUGAAAGUAAACAACGUGCCUCGGAGUGGGAAUUCUGCUGUCCCUCAGGAUCCGCUUCACCCAGGGUGCCCUGAAAACCUUGAAGGAAUUUUAACGAACGAUGUUGGAAAGACAGGCGAGCCUCAGUCAGAUCAGCAGAUGCGCCAAGAAGAACCUUUGCCGGAACAUCCACAGGACGGCGCUAAAUUGUCCAGGAAACAGCUGGUGCUGCGGCGAGGGCUUCUGCUCCUGGGGGUCUUCUUAAUCUUGCUGGCUGGAGUGCGGUGGUGCGAUCAUAGCUCACUGCAGCCUGGAACUCUUGGGCUUCAAGCAAUCCUCCUGUGUCAGCCACCAGAGUAGCUGAGACUACAGGGCUGGUGAAACUGUGUGCUGUAAGCUGGGACCAGCUUUAUCCAUAACUGCUGAGAUAACUUGCUGAAGCUCUAGGAAUAAUUUUGCCUGCCCGGUUGCUCACCAGUUGUAGCUUGCCAGCUCCCAGCACCCUUCCUGGUGCCAAUAAACUUUCUCAAAGAGCAA